UACGUUCCAAUUUUUUAUUUAAACUAUUUUAAUGUGUCAUAUACAUUUUUCUAUUUUCUUGUCAUUUGUGGAGACUCAGAGUAAGAAAAAACAUUGACUUUGGAUAGACCGCUCUAUAUCAUCAAAUGACUGGAGCUGCAUUAAAAAAGAUUUCCGGAGAUUCAAGUGAAUGUAUAAAAAUGUGCAAAGAAAGUAGUCGAAAACAAUGGCAGUAAAUUCAGAUAACGAUCGGGCGAAAUAUGCACCAAUGUAUUUAAGAACCAAAUGCAAUAUAAUCAAAUCAGAUUCGAGACUCUUAAUGCUCUUUGUACUCAGCAUCAGAUAAAUAACCCGAAACCAAUCAAAUGCUGCAAAAUUUCUAGUGAAAUUUGGCUUUCCUCUUAAAAACGAAAUGUUCAUAUUCCCAUCUACAUUGAAUGGAAAUCCUUCACCUGGCAACUAUGAAAGAACGAAUAUUGCACAUCUUACUCAUGUUUCAACUAAAUGCAAAGGUAUCCAUGUUGACAUAUGUAUAUAUGUACAUACACACGUUGCAUUAAAUAGUGUCGAAAUGUGCCGGGUCAGUAAUGCAAAUGUUGUAAAGAAAUUCUAAAUUACGAAAGUGUCUACAAAUCUGCAAUGUCCAUCAGACACAAAUGGAAUAUCUCUAUUGGAAGAUAGGAUAGAAUGGGUUGUACAAAUAAAGAAUUUUUAAGGCUGCAGCAAAUAAAGUACAAGCUACCAUGAGGACAGCCCAAAACAAAGCAAUAUAUUUAAGAAAUUAGUGACCUGUUUCAAUCAAAAUACUUAUGUUCCUUCCAAUUCGAAAGAAAUUCACUUUCGCUUUCUUCAAAAUUUUUUUCUGUAAUUUACUUGGAUGGUUCUUUAUACAAAAAGGGAUUAAAAA